rnacentral:tRNA from 2 species
UUAAAGGAUAAAAGCAAUCCACUGGUCU